rnacentral:lncRNA from 1 species
UGUAAAGCAGGAAGUACCCAUGCAUCGGUCUUUUUUUUUGGCAGAUGAGCUUUUCUCACUUGUAGCUCAGUGCUUACAUACUACCUUAGUCUGUGCUGCUCUGUGCAUCCAUUUAACUGACUCAGGUUUGCAGCAGAUUUACACCCAGAUUUGUACAUAAUUUUCUAGAAGCUUUGAAAGAUUAAAACCACACCGUGGGUGAAUGAAGAGCAUGGAACUGUUUUUUAUCAUUGUGCUAUUAGUAGGAGGAACUCAAGCUCUCUUUCCAGUUGAUGCAACCACAUGUGACCUCAGGACAAACACAUGUCCAUGCUCUCCUCUUCUUGAAGGAACUGUGUAUGUCCAAGUGAUGACUGAUGCUAGUGGCCGUGAAAUGAAGUGUUUGAAGAUGCUUCCCAAGGGGAACAUAACUGUGUUCAGUCUGAAGAAAGAAAAAAUAACGACAGACAAGGAAUUUUACAACAGGCUAACGUUUAUAAUCAAGAACGGGACACUCAAGAUCACAAACCUGAAGAAGAGUGAUUCAGGUCAAUACAGCAUUGAGGUCUAUAAUUCAAAUGGAUUCCAAGAGAAAAACAUUUAUUUCACCCUGGAUGUUAAAGACAACAGCAAAGUUGAAAGCAAGUUAUCACACAGUUUUCCUUACCUGAGGAUAGUCUUUGCUGCACUGGGAUCUCCCCUGAUAGCAGUGUCGUGCUGCGUUGUGUAUCGGGAACUGAAGCAUCUUAAGAAGACUUCUAACAAGGCGGCCCAUGAUCAAAAGAGCCUCAGGUGUGAAACAGAGAAUAUAAACCUUAAGUGUGAGUCUGAGCUUUAG